rnacentral:rRNA from 1 species
UCGAACGAGGUUCAAGGGAGCUUGCUCCCUGAAGACCUAGUGGCGAACGGGUGAGUAACACGUGAGGAACCUGCCCUGAAGUGGGGAAUAACCCGGGGAAACCCGAGCUAAUACCGCAUGCCCUCCACUGAUCGCAUGGUCGGUGGAGGAAAGAAUUUCGCUUCAGGAGGGUCUCGCGGCCUAUCAGCUAGUUGGUGGGGUAACGGCCUACCAAGGCAACGACGGGUAGCUGGUUUGAGAGAACGAUCAGCCACACUGGGACUGAGACACGGCCCAGACUCCUACGGGAGGCAGCAGUGGGGAAUCUUGCGCAAUGGGCGAAAGCCUGACGCAGCAGCGCCGCGUGCGGGAUGACGGCCUUCGUGGUUGUAAACCGCUUUCAGCAGGGACGAAAAUGACGGUACCUGCAGAAGAAGCUCCGGCUAACUACGUGCCAGCAGCCGCGGUAAUACGUAGGGGGCAAGCGUUGUCCGGAUUCAUUGGGCGUAAAGAGCUCGUAGGCGGUUCAGUAAGUCGGGUGUGAAAGCUCCGAGCUCAACUCGGAGAUGCCACCCGAUACUGCUGUGACUCGAGUCCAGUAGAGGAGCGUGGAAUUCCUGGUGUAGCGGUGAAAUGCGCAGAUAUCAUGAGGAACACCCG